UUUUUUUUUUUUUUUUUUCAUCGUUUUGCCAUUUCUUGGGCCGCUCCUGCGGCAUAUGGAAGUUCCCAGGCUAGGGGUCUAAUCGGAGCUGUAGCCGCUGGCCUACUCCAGAGCCACAGCAACUCGGGUUCUGAGCCGCACCUGCAACCUACGCCAGAGCUCACGGCAACGCGCGAUCCUUAACCCACUGAGCAAGGCCAGGGAUCGAAACCACAACCUCAUGGUUCCUAGUCGGAUUCGUUAACCACUGAGCCAAGAUGGGAAGUCCCUAUUUUUUUAUCUUUUGUCUUUUUUAGGGCCGCACCCAUGGCAUAUGGAUUUUCCCAGGCUAGGGAUCUAAUCGGAGCUACAGCUGCUGGCCUACACCACAACCACAGCCACACCAGAUCCAAGACAAGUCUGUGACCCACACCACAGCUCAUGGGAAGGCCGGAUCCUUAACCCACUGAGCGAGGCCAGGGAUUGAACCUGCAACCUUGUGGCUCCUAGUUGGAUGCGUUAACCACUGAGUCAUGAUGGGAACUCCAUCUACUCUUUAUUUUUUAUUAAAAUUUUUUAGGAGUUCCCGUCGUGGCGCAGUGGUUAACGAAUCCGACUAGGAACCAUGAUGUUGAGGGUUCGGUCCCUGCCCUUGCUCAGUGGGUUGACGAUCCGGCGUUGCCGUGAGCUGUGGUGUAGGUUGCAGACGCGGCUCGGAUCCCGAGUUGCUGUGGCUCUGGAGUAGGCCGGCGGCUACAGCUCCGAUUCAACCCCUAGCCUGGGAACCUCCAUAUGCCUCGGGAGCGGCCCAAGAAAUAGCAACAACAACAACAACAACAACAAACAACAACAACAAAAAAAGACAAAAGACAAAAAAAAAAAAUGGGGGCGACUGUGAAGGAAUCCGAUCUUUCCAUCUUUGCCUUUUUCAUUCUUCUUUUUUUUUUUUUUUUUGCCUUUUCUAGUCACUGACUCCAUAUUCUAAGGGCUUCCAGUUGAGAUUUACUGAGAGGCAAUUUGCCAGUAUCUCUCACCUCUUUAUCAAAAAGUUCUUAAACAAGACAAACUUCAUCACACACCACUAAAGGCUCCCUUGCCCUUUUUCCAUUUAGUAUUUACUGAAGGACUCUUUAUUGACUACUUACUUUUGUUCUAACAAAGUCCCAGCCCAAAAGAGUGUCCAUUGCAGUGGUGGGAUACCCAGCAACAAGCAAUGUAUAAGAUAAGCCAAUAAAUAAUACGCGCAGAAGAAAAAUAAAGCAGAGUCAUACUGAGGCAGAAUCAUAACUCAGAUAGUGUAGGAGCAUGGGCUUUGAUGCAUUCUUUGAUAUGGUUAUGGAUUAACAUUUGUGGCUUAAGGGCUCCAGGGAAUAACAUCCCCACAGGCCUUGUUUGCUAUAGGGAGUGUAUCUGUGCCAAGAUGGACAUUAAUUUCUAACCCACUCCUCAACUAAUAGAAUAGGAAUGAGAGGAAUGGUGACUCCAUCUAAGGGAAGAGAAGGGCAAGGAAACCUCAAAACUUAUGGGACAUUUCCAUCCCUAAGAUAUUUCCAUCCCUUGGACAAGGACUGGAAUAGGUAACUUGGGCAAUGCCAAUGGGAGAAAACCACAUUUCUCUGGAGCCCACAAUGGGACCCCCUAUCUUUAAGGGAUAAAACUCCUAUAGAACAAUAGGGAAGGGGACUCUUCUUCCCCCUCCCAGCCUGUCCUGGGAGCUGUUUGUUUUCCUGUAAUGAAGACUUUGCUUGCUUGCUGCCUGUGUGUUCCCAAAGUUCGGUCUUUGGCUCUGUGAACAAGAAUCGGGAUUCUGGUAACAUCUUUAUGGCAUCAAUAGGACAGUGUGGUGGGAGUUGGCAGGCCUUUUCCAGGCCUUAGUGAAAACAGUAAUUAUUGUUUUCAUAUUUGUCCAACAGCUCUCUCAUUCUAUUGGCAACAGAUGUGGAAGCACUGAGGUGGCUGAUCUACAAUGUCUGCUUCUGCCAACCAACUCUGAGAUGGAAAGAGUACUAAUUAAACAAGACAGGUAAUCCUUAGACAAGACAGGUACAGUGAUUAAUGCAGCGUCUUGUACAUAGAACAUACUAAAUAAGGAGCCAUCAGAAAAAAUGGGAAGGAGAGGGGAGCUGCCCCUGGCAAAACCCAUCUCCUUUGCCCUAAUUUUAAUCUCUGCAUUGCUUGUGCUUUCUUCAGCCCAUAGCUUUAUGAGUAAUUGGCCCUUGAACUGGGAAGCUGCUUAGGAUAAGACCAAAGCUGAAAGUGACAGGGUAGAUAAAAGGCAUCCUUUAGAGACGA
rnacentral:lncRNA from 1 species